UAAUACGUAGGGGGCUAGAGUUGUCCGGAUUUACUGGGUGUAAAGGGUGCUCAGGUGGAUUUGUAAGUCAGAGGUGAAAUCCCAAAGCUUAACUUUGGAGCUGCCUUUGAUACUGCAAGUCUUGAGUUUGAGAGAGGGUAAUGGAAUAUCUGGUGUAGCAGUGAAAUGCGUAGAUAUCAGAUAGAACACCAAUGGCGAAGGCAGUUACCUGGCUCAAAACUGACGCUAAAGCACGAAAGUGUGGGGAGCAAACAGGAUUAGAUACCCUGGUAGUCCACACCCUAAACGAUGAAUACUAGAUGUUGGUCCUUUAUAGGAUCAGUAUCCAAGCUAACGCAUUAAGUAUUCCACCUGGGAAGUACAAUCGCAAGGUUG
rnacentral:rRNA from 1 species